rnacentral:lncRNA from 1 species
AUGUCCUCUGCCCUCCCCGGAACACGGGGCCUGCAAUUUUCCUUGAACACAGCACUUUGUGACGUUGAUGAAAACUUCAAACGCAGCUCUCUUUCCUGUCUUCAAGUCGAGGAAGAGGUGCACAGCAGGCUACCGGCAAGAGCCCUGACACCAGGCCUUCCGGCCUCAGAACUGCUGGGCGUCCAGGUGAGCGGCCAGCCUCAGCCUUGUGUCCAAGCCCUGCCACCCCGGCCACCCCAGGGGACUCCAGAGCACCAGGCAGAGGGCGACUCUGCACCUUGCAGGUGUGAAAUGCUACAGGACCUGACUUCCUUAUACCUCGCUCGCUGUGUGUGCAAGGAGGGUGGGGGCCAGCAGGGCUCUCAGACUCAGCUGCCGAAAGCCGAGUUGACUGUAUGGGUCCCCGCUAUUCAUCUAGAGCCAGCUCUGAGUCGGUGUUGGGGACCCGAGACCCCGCGGUGGCCUGCUUUCCUCAACUUUCAUCUGCACAUCCCCAGGAGGACGUCUUCAGCUGGUGUAAUCUUGUCCUGGAGAAUUACAGCAUCACCGUAUCAUUGAGGUCUCAGUUAUGACCAGAAGCCAAAAUGGAAUGAUGUCUCGGAAUUCCAUAGCUGGCCUGUAGACAGGAGAACUAGGCCUAACCAAAUGAUUUUUUCCCUAAAAUUAAAAGCAUUGCUCCCGACAUAUCUCCCUUUCUUUUUGUUUUAUGUGAGGGUGUUUUUAGGAAAAGUGAGCACGCUCAACAUUGGCUUGUCCCUAUAUAUUGUGAGGAUCUAUAAGUGUAAGGAUCUGUAAGUGUUUGACUGACUUAGCUGUCUAUAAUAACCAUAAUUUCUCUUAGUUGGGGCUGUAAAAGGAUUAAAAAUCAAAUAAUAAUUUUUUUAAACAAUGUUGGCUAAAAAACUUUAAACUUUUGUUGAACUCAAAUAAUUAUUAUCUUUAGUUAUACUUUUCUAAGACCAAGUUACGGAGAGACCUAUAUUAAAUAAAGUCAACCUCUUGCUGUCUAACAAGGUCAAUUGAGUCUCCUCAGGCACUGUCUUGGAACCAUGCAUAGAGCCUCUUAGCUCUGUCAGUGUCAGCCAUCAGGAUAUGUCACGGCCUAGCUUGACCAUGUUGCUUUCUGUGAAAGCAUGGGAGAUUUUUUCCUCUAGGUUACAUUCCUUUUCUCCCCACACCCCUUCCUAUCCCUCCUCCUCCCUCUCUACCCCUUCCCAUGUUCUUCCUCCCUCCCUAUCCACUCCCCUCCCCCCCCAUACUGGGGAUCGAAUGCAGGGCUUUUACAUUCAGCCUCACUAGCCUUCUUUUUAUUUUGAGACAGGGUCUCACUAAGUCACUUAAGUUGCCCAGGGUGGGCUUGUACUUGGAAUUCUCCUGCCUCAGUCUCCCAGAGUGGCUGGGAUUAUAGGCAUGUGCCACCAUACCCAGCUCCACGUGGCAGAGAUUUAUUGGGAGGAAGUGGCAGCAUGGGAAGUGAGUGUCCCUGGGCUCUGCCAUGGGAAACCCGGCAUGGUCAGGGAUGGAGGAGCCAACAGGAUGACCACCCGUGGCCAUCGGGGCUCUGAUCAGGUUAACGGGGACCCUAGGAGCCCACAGGAAG